UACGGGGGGGGCAAGCGUUGUUCGGAAUUACUGGGCGUAAAGGGCUCGUAGGUGGCCAACUAAGUCAGACGUGAAAUCCCUCGGCUUAACCGGGGAAUGGCGUCCGAUACUGGAUGGCUUGAAUUCGGGAGAGGGAUGCAGAAUUCCAGGUGUAGCGGUGAAAUGCGUAGAUAUCUGGAGGAAUACCGGUGGCGAAGGCGGCAUCCUGGACCGACAUUGACGCUGAGGAGCGAAAGCUAGGGGAGCAAACGGG
rnacentral:rRNA from 1 species